rnacentral:tRNA from 1 species
GCAGACAUUGCCUAGCCUGGUACGGCGCCGGCUUGGAGAGCCGGUGUGUGAAAGCAUCCGAGGGUUCGAAUCCCUCUGUCUGCG